rnacentral:tRNA from 1 species
GGGCGUAUAGCUCAGCUGGGAGAGCGUCUGCAUGGCAUGCAGAAGGUCAGGGGUUCGAUCCCCCUUACGUCCACCA